CCUGUCGCACCACGAGGCG
rnacentral:snRNA from 1 species